CGCCGCCGGCACAGCCACCACCUUCAUCAUCGUCGUCAUCCCAGAGCCCCAAGAAGGAGGAGAAGAGCCAGACUCCGUGAAAGCAGAAGGCCAGUUGGAAUGGCAGGCAGAAUAAGUGGCCUGACUCCGUUGGUGUUUAAGUGGAGCUCUGGUAUUCUAGUGCAUUCUUUUACCUCUGCUUCUGUUGCGUUGCAAGCUGUGCUAGAGAAGACGUAGGAAAUUCAUUUUACCCAAUCAGCAAUUGUAACAAUGGACUACAAACCUGCAGAGCAAGCCAGUUUGCUGGAAAACAGGAAUUCCUGCAGCGCAGCACUUGUCACAGACUAUCCAAAGAGGGCAAAGAUUCAGGAAAGUGAAUAAAUUGAACAUUGAUUGAAUGAGGUCAGGAACAGUCUCCCGGAGGAGAGCCCUGCCCUAAAAUACUACUUUGAGAGUAUAAGCCAAUUUAAUGCGCAGAUUAACCCUUCUCAUUUGAGCAAACUUAUGUGCAAUCCUGGAUCUUUGCAGAUCACGACUGGACACUUCACAAAAAAAAAAUAAAAAAAAAUCUGUGUACUAUAUUUGCUUAAAAAAUAAAUCCUAACUUGUCUUGUUACACCUGUUAAUUUUACUUUUUCAUUGACAAUAUUUGCAACAUAAAUGUAUAUUUGACUUAACACAAUAUCCUACAUUUGGUAUAAUAACUCAGGUUGUUGACAAAAUUAUUCUGUGAGGCUCAGUACCACCUCUUCGUUCUUCUCUGAAGAAAAUUCUUUAACCAUUGCUGUCAUUUCCAGAAGUAAUUUAUAGCCCACUUUGCAUUGCAAAAUUCUUGAACAGAUUUAAUAGCUGACCUAAAUUACUGCUCUUGUUUUAUCCUCAUAGAAUAGUUAGCAUCUUGAACAUCAGACCAGACUUCUGUGGUCUGAUGUUCAUGAAAAUCAUUCAUUGGUUCAUGGUUUAAUUGUUUUACAUCUCUGUAUUUUGUUUUCUUUUCCUUUCCCCUUGCAUACUAGGGAGUAUGAUCAAGGUAAUACUAUGAUCCAGUAACGCGCUUGAUGGUAAGGGUAUGCCUUUAGUUGUUUCAGGAAAAAAAAAAACCAACUGCCGUUAUCUGCUCUCCUUUAACUUUCUUGAUAGUUUCAAUAAUAUGCUUAACAUGAAGUGUUUGUAAAUCGAUUUAAAAAAAAAAAAA